rnacentral:RNase_P_RNA from 1 species
GUUGAACGGCCGCGCGGUAUUGCGCCGAAAGGUAUUACCGUGAGGAAAGUCCGGGCUUCAAAGGACAGGAUAGCUGAUAACGUCAGCCACGGGCAACCGUCGGGAAAGUGCAACAGAAACAAACCGCCGCGCUCCGGCGCGGUAAGGAUGGAAAGGCGAGGUAAGAGCUCACCCGUUCCCAUGGCAACAUGGGUCCGCUGUAAACCCUAUCCGAAGCAACACCCCAUGGGGCGCCUGUCCGGCGCAUGCCCCGAGGUGGCACGGGAGUAUUCCCGAAGCGCGUCGGCGACGACGCGCGAAGAUUGAUGGCCGUUCCAGACAGAACCCGGCUUACAGACGAACCU